rnacentral:misc_RNA from 1 species
GCUCUUCCAGGAAAGUCAUUUUGCAAACAUCUCAAAAUUAUUCUGGCCCAAAAAAGAUGCAACUCCGUACUUAGCAUAAAUUUCUAAAUUAAAACAAGCUUAUCACCAAGGGCUUGUAAAACUCCCAAGUAACUGAUAUCUUCCUAUGUUGUAGCAGAACUGAAGAACAAACAAUUUCUAAAACAAGACCCCCUAAAACAUUAACAUUGGAAAUAUGCCUGAACAGAAAUUUUAAUAGAGAUAGAAAACACAAUACAAU